rnacentral:rRNA from 1 species
AUUGAACGCUGGCGGCAUGCUUUACACAUGCAAGUCGAACGGCAGCACGGGCUUCGGCCUGGUGGCGAGUGGCGAACGGGUGAGUAAUGCAUCGGAACGUGCCCAUGUCGUGGGGGAUAACGUAGCGAAAGCUACGCUAAUACCGCAUACGCCCUGAGGGGGAAAGGUGGGGAACUUCGGUCCUAACGCGAUUGGAUGCGUCCAUGUGGGAUUAGCUAGUUGGUGAGGUAACGGCUCACCAAGGCGGCGAUCUCUAGCGGGUCUUAGAGGACGAUCCGCAACACGGGAACUGAGACGCGGUCCAGACUCCUACGGGAGGCAGCAGUGGGGAGUCUUGGACAAUGGGCGAAAGCCUGAUCCAGCAAUGCCGCGUGCGUGAAGAAGGCCUUCGGGUUGUAAAGCGCUUUUGCCUGGGAGCAAAUCCUGGCCUCUAAUACAGGUCGGGGAUGAGAGUACCAGAAGAAUAAGGACCGGCUAACUACGUGCCAGCCGCCGCGGUAA